CAGUCGCCGCGGGAAUGCAGAGGAUGCAAGCGUUAUCCGGAAUGAUUGGGCGUAAAGGGCGCGUAGGCGGAUGAUUAAGUCGAGGGUGAAAGCCCGGGGCUCAACCUCGGAACUGCCUUUGAUACUGGUCAUCUUGAGUACGGGAGAGGUGUGUGGAACUCCGAGUGUAGAGGUGAAAUUCGUAGAUAUUCGGAAGAACGCCAGUGGCGAAGGCGACACACUGGCCCGUUACUGACGCUGAGGCGCGAAAGCGUGGGGAGCAAACAGGAUUAGAUACCCCCGUAGUCCCUGUCUCUUAUAC
rnacentral:rRNA from 1 species